rnacentral:rRNA from 1 species
GACGAACGCUGGCGGCGUGCUUAACACAUGCAAGUCGAACGGAAAGGCCCUGCUUUUGUGGGGUGCUCGAGUGGCGAACGGGUGAGUAACACGUGAGUAACCUGCCCUUGACUUUGGGAUAACUUCAGGAAACUGGGGCUAAUACCGGAUAGGAGCUCCUGCUGCAUGGUGGGGGUUGGAAAGUUUCGGCGGUUGGGGAUGGACUCGCGGCUUAUCAGCUUGUUGGUGGGGUAGUGGCUUAUCAAGGCUUUGACGGGUAGCCGGCCUGAGAGGGUGACCGGCCACAUUGGGACUGAGAUACGGCCCAGACUCCUACGGGAGGCAGCAGUGGGGAAUAUUGCACAAUGGGCGGAAGCCUGAUGCAGCAACGCCGCGUGCGGGAUGACGGCCUUCGAGUUGUAAACCGCUUUCGCCUGUGACGAAGCGUGAGUGACGGUAAUGGGUAAAGAAGCACCGGCUAACUACGUGCCAGCAGCCGCGGUGAUACGUAGGGUGCGAGCGUUGUCCGGAUUUAUUGGGCGUAAAGGGCUCGUAGGUGGUUGAUCGCGUCGGAAGUGUAAUCUUGGGGCUUAACCCUGAGCGUGCUUUCGAUACGGGUUGACUUGAGGAAGGUAGGGGAGAAUGGAAUUCCUGGUGGAGCGGUGGAAUGCGCAGAUAUCAGGAGGAACACCAGUGGCGAAGGCGGUUCUCUGGGCCUUUCCUGACGCUGAGGAGCGAAAGCGUGGGGAGCGAACAGGCUUAGAUACCCUGGUAGUCCACGCUGUAAACGGUGGGUACUAGGUGUGGGGUCCAUUCCACGGGUUCCGUGCCGUAGCUAACGCUUUAAGUACCCCGCCUGGGGAGUACGGCCGCAAGGCUAAAACUCAAAGGAAUUGACGGGGCCCCGCACAAGCGGCGGAGCAUGCGGAUUAAUUCGAUGCAACGCGUAGAACCUUACCUGGGUUUGACAUGGAUCGGGAGUGCUCAGAGAUGGGUGUGCCUCUUUUGGGGUCGGUUCACAGGUGGUGCAUGGCUGUCGUCAGCUCGUGUCGUGAGAUGUUGGGUUAAGUCCCGCAACGAGCGCAACCCUUGUUCACUGUUGCCAGCACGUUAUGGUGGGGACUCAGUGGAGACCGCCGGGGUCAACUCGGAGGAAGGUGGGGAUGACGUCAAGUCAUCAUGCCCCUUAUGUCCAGGGCUUCACGCAUGCUACAAUGGCUGGUACAGAGAGUGGCGAGCCUGUGAGGGUGAGCGAAUCUCGGAAAGCCGGUCUCAGUUCGGAUUGGGGUCUGCAACUCGACCUCAUGAAGUCGGAGUCGCUAGUAAUCGCAGAUCAGCAACGCUGCGGUGAAUACGUUCCCGGGGCU